rnacentral:tRNA from 2 species
GGGCCCGUAGCUCAGUGGGAGAGUGCCUCCCUUGCAAGGAGGAUGCCCUGGGUUCGAAUCCCAGCGGGUCCA